rnacentral:rRNA from 1 species
AUUGAACGCUGGCGGAAUGCUUUACACAUGCAAGUCGAACGGCAGCACGGGGGCAACCCUGGUGGCGAGUGGCGAACGGGUGAGUAAUACAUCGGAACGUGCCCGGUCGUGGGGGAUAACGUAGCGAAAGUUACGCUAAUACCGCAUACGAUCUGAGGAUGAAAGCGGGGGACCUUCGGGCCUCGCGCGAUCGGAGCGGCCGAUGUCAGAUUAGGUAGUUGGUGGGGUAAAGGCCUACCAAGCCGACGAUCUGUAGCUGGUCUGAGAGGACGACCAGCCACACUGGGACUGAGACACGGCCCAGACUCCUACGGGAGGCAGCAGUGGGGAAUUUUGGACAAUGGACGCAAGCCUGAUCCAGCCAUUCCGCGUGCAGGACGAAGGCCUUCGGGUUGUAAACUGCUUUUGUAUGGAACGAAAAGGCUCUGGCUAAUACCUGGGGCUCAUGACGGCACCGUAAGAAUAAGCACCGGCUAACUACGUG